AUUGAACGCUGGCGGCAGGCCUAACACAUGCAAGUCGAACGAGUGGCGGACGGGUGAGUAAUGUCUGGGAAACUGCCUGAUGGAGGGGGAUAACUACUGGACACGGUAGCUAAUACCUCAUACCAUCGGAUGUGCCCCGAUGGGAUUAGCUAGUAGGUGGGGUAAAGGCUCACCUAGGCGACGAUCCCUAGCUGGUCUGAGAGGAUGACCAGUCACAUGGGAACUGAGACACGGGCCAGACUCCUACGGGAGGCAGAAGUGGGGAAUAUUGGACAAUGGGCGCAAGCCUGAUGCAGCUAUGCCGCGUGUAUGAAGAAGGCCUUCUGGUUGUAAAGUACUUUCAGCGGGGAGGCGUUACCCGAAGAAGAAGCACCGGCUAACUCCGUGCCAGCCGCCGCGGUAAUAC
rnacentral:rRNA from 1 species